rnacentral:rRNA from 1 species
UGGGGAAUUUUGGACAAUGGGCGAAAGCCUGAUCCAGCAAUGCCGCGUGUGUGAAGAAGGCCUUCGGGUUGUAAAGCACUUUUGUCCGGAAAGAAAUCCUUGGCUCUAAUACAGUCGGGGGAUGACGGUACCGGAAGAAUAAGCACCGGCUAACUACGUGCCAGCAGCCGCGGUAAUACGUAGGGUGCAAGCGUUAAUCGGAAUUACUGGGCGUAAAGCGUGCGCAGGCGGUUUGCUAAGACCGAUGUGAAAUCCCCGGGCUCAACCUGGGAACUGCAUUGGUGACUGGCAAGCUAGAGUAUGGCAGAGGGGGGUUAGAAUUGCCACGUGUAGCAGUGAAAUGCGUAGAGAUGUGGAGGAAUACCGAUGGCGAAGGCAGCCCCCUGGGCCAAUACUGACGCUCAUGCACGAAAGCGUGGGGAGCAAACAGAUUAGUACCCUGGUAGUCCCACGCCCUAAACCGAUGUCAACUAGUUGUUGGGGAUUCAUUCCUUAGUAACGUAGCUAACGCGUGAAGUUGACCGCCUGGGGAGUACGGUCG